CAUAGCAAGCACAGCAGAUGGCUGUUGGAUUGAGUCUUAGGAAAUAAUCCCCAAAUGGGACAGUGCCUUUCAAAGAGCAUUCUGUCCUCAGAAGGGCAAAUACGAGAGGAUGGGCGAUAGCUCUGUUCUGCUGUGGCAUGUUGGGAAGUGAUGAGAGAAGGGUUCCUGUUGUAAAAACAGAAAAAGAUCAAGUCUUUCAGCAAUGACGCGAGGGCAAGACUUUAACAGCGAGGUGACUAAGAUCAUCAGCUACGGUCAUGCUUGCAACAGCUCAAGAGGCGUUCUGGUUCUCUGAGGGGCAGGGCACGCAGCAGCACCCGCUGGUAGCUGGUGAGCAGAGGGUGAAUCAGAUAUUUGGAAAAUUACUUUCUUCAGUUGCUGGCUUUGGAGCCUUAUGUGAAACUCCCAGUUUUGCAGAUGUCAGUUUUGCUGAUUAAGUGUGACUUGCUGUCCUUGGACAGAGAGGCAACAGAAAUGCAGAGCAGGCUGUCCGACAUCUAGCGAUGGCUCAGAGAGCAAACCAUGGUCUUUGCCAUGAAGAUGCCUUUUCUAGUGGGCAAAUCUGUGUGGCAGAAAAUGUACAUUUUGUCAUGCAACGUGACCACUGUUCCUGGUAAGCCUCAUGGUCAGGCAGCAGCCAUAUGUCUAAAGAGAACCUGUCAGCUCUUCCAGGAGAAACCUGGCUGCAAAGUUAUAUCCUUAACAGUGUUUUGGGAGUUGCUGUUAACACAGCUGAUAGUGGCACAGCAAACCAUUCUCUCGGCAAUAAAGACAUUUUCCCUCUGUCAGUAAACUUCUUGCUAGAGCUCGAUGAAACAAGAUACAUUGAAUUGACAGAAAGUCCAGGAUUUACAGAGUGUAACUGAAGGACAGUUUUCAACAUUUGGUUUUUCCACCACAAUCUGAAAAAUUUUUUAUAAGAAAAGGAAAAAAGAAAGAGGGAAUUUCCUCUUUCCCCUCUUUCCUCCUAAUUUUAACUGGUUUUCUUGGAAUCUUUGUAACUUUGGGGAUUAAACUGAGCUCUGGAUGUGCAUUUUCUGUACGUGCAAUUAACAAAUGCUUGUCUUUCAGCUCUUUUAGUAAGCAAAAGAAAACAGAACUGGAUUAACUUUGCUAUCCUCCUUUGAAAAUGAGUUCCCCUACUGAGCAGUGAGCACAACCAUGGAAUACAUGCCAGAAGGGACAAUCAACAUAAUUUCCGUAUACAAACUGGACACACAUAUAUUUUUUCCAGUAACUUUAAUGAGAGCCAGGCUUGUGUAAGUAAUCUCAGGGUGAGUUUUUUCCUGCUCCCUCUCACAUCAAAAGGAAAGUUUUCAUUGACUUCAUUACUGCUAGGUCAGGAUGAAGAAAGAUAUUGGGAAAUAACACUCGGAGAAGAAAAGUAGCAUCAGCAAGAUGCUGUAGUAUCAUUCUCUUAUCACAGGUCACUAUCAAAUUUAUAUCAAUGUAAAUCACUAAUUGCACUAAUAUUUUGCAGACUACCUAAUGCAGCACUUAUUUAAUAAAGCAGAGGAGUAGUAGCAAUGCAGCAGAGGAAUCCUCCCAGUGUUUUUGUGCAAGUUUUAUCAAGUCUAGAGAACCCACCGAGUUGGAAAGACUACUGCCCUUCAUUAAUGCAGUAAUGCAACAAUGAAUAAAUCAGCGUGUCCUUUCAACUCCCAGGAGUCCUCCAGGCCUAUACACAGUGUGAUUGUAAGACGAGGGGAAGGAAGGCAGGGAAGUCCUAAAGAUUAAUCAGAUAAUAAGGGAAAUUCCUUAGUCCUGAGCACAAGGUCUUUUCCCUCCCCAGCCUCCCCCAGAACCUGCAGAAGCCUCAUUGCCCCUGAUUUGCAGCAGAGAUAAGGAUGCCCUGGCCACAGCGAGAUGUACAACAAACACAACUUUAUCUCCACCGCCAAACGCAGGCUCAGGAUCAAUAAGCAGUCACCACUUAGACAUCUUGCAGGAAGGAUCUGCAGCAUGAGACACCCCCUCGCCUCCUCCUUUUCCCAGCCUUAGAAGUCUCCAGGUCACAUAAGCGGGGCCUCGGAAGAAACAGGAAAAACUCUUACCCCAGGUAUGAGCCUGGGUCUCGGCAGCAGCAGCCAAACAGAUGACAAAGGAGGAAAAGGUUUGAUUUUGACCAUGUUUGUUUUUCUUGUUUAUAGAGUUUGCUCCUCAAAGCUACUAUUGGAGAACUGUUUCAUUCUGUGUGUGCUUUCCUGUAGGCCUGGCAGGAAAACAGAGACCAAAAGAAAGAAAAAAAAUAAAUGUCCUGAUGCUGGAAACAUCUGGAUUUUUAUAUGUGCUUAGCAUCUCGGGAGGGUCUGUUUUUGUUUGUCCUACUUGCCAAUAAAUUCAAUGCUUUUCCCUGAAAUAUAUGGGAGCAGGAAAUAUAUAUUAAAGAUAAGUAUUCCUGGUUUAACUCAAGCUUGGGUUAUUAACAACAAUGUGGCCAUGAUGAGAAGCAGCGAGAUGAUAACCUUUAUGAGCAAUAUUAUGCUAUCUCUCAGCCUUUGCAGAGUUAGCUGUAAUUGUUGUGCAACCCAGAUCAUCAAAGGAAAGAUAAGAUCAGAUAAUCAAAAUACUGUUGUGAUUUUGCAUCAACGCUAUUUAAGUUAUAAUUAUUACUUUUUCUGUCUUUGGUUAAAAUAAAGGUGAAAACUAAUUUUUUAUUUACA